UACGUAGGGUGCGAGCGUUUGUCCGGAAUUAUUGGGCGUAAAGAGCUUGUAGGCGGUCUGUCGCGUCUGCUGUGAAAAUCCGGGGCUCAACCCCGGACUUGCAGUGGGUACGGGCAGACUAGAGUGUGGUAGGGGAGACUGGAAUUCCUGGUGUAGCGGUGAAAUGCGCAGAUAUCAGGAGGAACACCGAUGGCGAAGGCAGGUCUCUGGGC
rnacentral:rRNA from 1 species